CGCUUCCGGGCGCCGCUCCUUCCGGCCGGGCGCCCGCGUCUCUAUGCCCCGCUCUUAAAGGCGCCUCCCCCUUUUCCAGCGUUACCGGCCCGGUUCCGGUCGCGGCGCCAAGAUGGCGCAGGCGCUGUCGGACGACGAGUUCCAGCGCAUGCAGGGGCAGCUGCUGGAGCUGCGGGCCGAGAACUACCGGCUGUCGGACGAGCUGCGCAGGAGCAACGCGGAGCUGAGCGGGCUGCGGCAGCGGGUCCAGGGCCUGGAGGCCGAGCUGGGCAAGGCGCAGACG